CAUGUCACGAGUUUGACUCCUGGCUACAAGAACGAACGCUGGCGGCAUGCCUAACACAUGCAAGUCGAACGAGACCUUCGGGUCUAGUGGCGCACGGGUGCGUAACACGUGGGAAUUUGCCUCGGGGUAUGGAAUAACUCAGGGGAACUUGAGCUAAUACCAUAUAAUGUCUUCGGACCAAAGAUUUAUCGCCCUGAGAUAAGCCCGCGUAGGAUUAGCUAGUUGGUGGGGUAAAGGCUCACCAAGGCGACGAUCCUUAGCUGGUCUGAGAGGAUGAUCAGCCACACUGGGACUGAGACACGGCCCAGACUCCUACGGGAGGCAGCAGUGGGGAAUAUUGGACAAUGGGCGAAAGCCUGAUCCAGCAAUGCCGCGUGAGUGAUGAAGGCCUUCGGGUUGUAAAGCUCUUUUACUCGGGACGAUAAUGACGGUACCGAGAGAAUAAGCCCCGGCUAACUCCGUG
rnacentral:rRNA from 1 species